ensembl:misc_RNA Metazoa_SRP Metazoan signal recognition particle RNA
ACCAGGUGUGGUGGCGGGUUCCUGUAGUCCCAGCUACUCAGGAGGCUGAGGCAGGAGGACCGCUUGAGCCCAGGAGUUCUGGGCUUUAGUGUGCUAUGCUGAUUGGGUAUCUAUACUAAGUUAGUCAUCAGUAUGGUACCUUCUGGGAUCAGGGGACCACCAGUUGCCUCAGGAGAGGAAAAGCUGCGGUGGUCAGAAACAGAGCAAGUCAAAACUCCCAUGCUGAUCAGUCGUGAGAUUGUACCCCUGAAUAGCUGUUGCCCUCCAGCCUGAGCAGCAUAGUGAGAUCCUACUUUAA